rnacentral:misc_RNA from 1 species
GGGAUUGGACAUAAGAUGCUGCCGAAGCUGCUAUAUCAUAAGCAACUGAUGGCGGAGGUAGACACUUAUGCUCAAUUUCCUCUGUUUUAUCUCGAUUAGGCACUGAAUUAUCUGAUGAUGGAACUGGCACACAAACUGAAUCCUUGUCGAACUUGGCUUUGAUAGCCAUAGCUUCUGCUUUUUUCACCAAGGAAGAUGUUACAAAGUCCAGACCAUAGCAUCUUUCUAAAUCCCUGGCCUUGAUCUCGGGAAUAACAUAAGCCAUGUUGCAUAAGAAUGCCAGCUUAGAGAAAAGCUUGGAGUCUGACCAUGAAACUCGCCUUAACAACCUGGAGAAUGAUUCUCUAUCAAUGUUCAUCUCAUCAGCUUCUUCAUUGUCACCCUCAUAGUCUACUUCACAACCUUCUUCC